GGGCAGAUGGCCGAGUGGUCUAAGGCGCUAGUUUUAGGUGUGCUGGAGUCAUCGAUCCGGUCAUCAUCACCACUAGUCUUCGGGCGUGGGUUCAAAUCCCACUCGGCCCA
rfam:Puccinia triticina 1-1 BBBD Race 1 supercont2.60, whole genome shotgun sequence.